GCAGAACCGCGCGGCGCAGAGGACGUAACGUCACACGGAAGCUGCGCUUUCAGCCCCGCCCCCAGGGGCGCGCGGUGCACGCUGGCCCUUGUAGUCCUUCGGGAGCGGAGCCCAGGGGUAGGGUGCAAAAGCCUGAUGAAGCUUGGGACCAUGCCUUUCUGCUCACUCCAGUACCAGCUGUUGGUGAAUUGUGAGCCUUCAACUCUGAGUUACCACCACCUUGCUGAAGAUGUGCCAUAGGAAGUGUUUCUUCUGAAAUACCACCUGCUCAUCUACCACUGUUGCCAAGUGCUCCUGGAGCUUAUGCUUAAACGCCAGCCAGGGUUGAAGAUGCUCAAUGCUCCCUGAUGUAGCUCCCAGUUGAGUAAUUCUGCAGGCUUGGAUCAUUUGAGCUGCUAGAGAAAUAGGAACCUGCUUGUGGGAGUGCAGACUGCCAACUCACAAACUGGGAUGUUUGCAGAGGUUCUGCUGAGGUUGGAAGAUAAGUCCUUUGCUGUGUGAGUCAUCAGGAAAAAGGUUUCUCCAGUUGCCUCCCUGUCAGGGAGCUGGGGCUCCAUUUUAAGAGCAGGCCUUCAGCCAGACUCUUGUCACGUUUGUAGUCCAUUUGAAUUGAGCUGGUGAGAAGACUCACUGUUCAGCAACCUUACUGUUCCCACCCAAUGUGUAACAGGCAUGUCAAAUUUACUGCAUCCAAACCAAAUGCUCAACCUUCCCUCUCAAACCUGUACGUCCUGGUUUUGCAUUUCAGUAAACUAAACUACUUUUUGGUUGUUCAGGCCCCAGAUCUUGAAAUCAUCCUCUUUUUCUCACAUCCCACAUCUGAUUGUUUAAUUGUCAACCUUGGAGAACACAAAGCCCAGUGCCUUGUAACUAUCUCCACUACUUCAAACCACCCAUGUCUCAGCCAUCACCUUUCUCCAGCCUGCUGCAACAGCUGAACUGGUCUCCCUUUCACUCUUGCCCUCCACCUAAAACACCUUUAAAAGCACGUCUCAAAACCCUCCAAUGGCUUCCCGUCUUACUCCCCUACAUGGCUCGGUGGGGCCUGUGUGAUCUGCCCCCUUGUUGACCUUUGCUUAGUUCUUCCCAGCCAGACCAGACCCUUUACUGCUCAAGUAUGAUCAGAUUUCCUUGUCUCCAGAUCUCUACCCAAAUGUCAGUUGAGAGGCCUUCCCAGAUUACAUAUUAACAGCACUGUCCUCAGCCACCUCUUUCUAAAGCAGCACCUUUGCUCCCUACUCCAUUCUUUUUAGUAUGUACUACUACCAGAAAUAAUAUGUAUUUACUUCUUUUUGUGUAGUUGCCCCUCAAGAAAGAAAUUAAGUUCCAUGAAAGCAGGGACUUGCCUUCUGUUUGCUGCUGUGUCCCCCAAUCCUUUAGAAGAAUGCCUGCCACAG